GCGGAUUUAUAUAAUAGCAAAUUCAUUUGCUGUGUCUAGAUCAGGAUUGCCAGAAACUGCAAGGGAAACGUGGGCAUCCCUUCGGAACUGAAAUGGAGAGGGACUUCCUCCACUCUUUAUUCCAAGGCAAGAGGUCACAGGCGGGGUAGGAACAGUCCUGACAGAUAAGGUGGUCAAGAGAGUGCUGUGGGCUAGCUGACAGUUUAACUAUGCUGAAACUCUGGAAAGGUGAGCUCACCUUCAGAGAA